GGGGGCGACAUGGCUUCGACGGGGAUGCGGAAAGGCAGGGGUGGCAUGCCGAGGUCCCAUGGGCUCGUAAAACACAUGGGAAACGAUAAUCGCCAACGAUUAUCAAGUCGCUCUAGCGGCUUAAGACCCGCUAGCGUUCUUACCGUCCGGCGCCUACAGGGCGGAUAAGGGCGUCAGAUUAGCAGGCUAGCCACGGCGGCUGUGCUCAGGGGCUGCCAAGGCGAAAACUCACCGAGCUAGCCGAUUCCGGAUCCAGUUUGCGGGAGACGGGAAAGGCGAAAAUCAAAGCGCAGACUAAGCAUGUAGAGGCUUCUGACUAGUAUUUCCGGACGGGGGUUCGAUUCCCCCCGCCUCCACCA
rnacentral:tmRNA from 1 species